AUUGAACGCUGGCGGCAGGCCUAACACAUGCAAGUCGAGCGGCAGCGGAAAGUAGCUUGCUACUUUGCCGGCGAGCGGCGGACGGGUGAGUAAUGUCUGGGGAUCUGCCUGAUGGAGGGGGAUAACUACUGGAAACGGUAGCUAAUACCGCAUAACGUCGCAAGACCAAAGAGGGGGACCUUCGGGCCUCUUGCCAUCAGAUGAACCCAGAUGGGAUUAGCUAGUAGGUGGGGUAACGGCUCACCUAGGCGACGAUCCCUAGCUGGUCUGCGAGGAUGACCCGCCACACUGGAACUGAGACACGGUCCAGACUCCUACGGGAGGCAGCAGUGGGGAAUAUUGCACAAUGGGCGCAAGCCUGAUGCAGCCAUGCCGCGUGUAUGAAGAAGGCCUUCGAGUUGUAAAGUACUUUCAGCGAGGAGGAAGGCGUUAAGGUUAAUAACCUUAGCGAUUGACGUUACUCGCAGAAGAAGCACCGGCUAACUCCGUGCCAGCAGCCGCCGUAA
rnacentral:rRNA from 1 species